CUCUGGAUAGCUCAGUCGGCAGAGCACAAGACUGUUAAUCUCAGGGUUGUGGUUUUAAGCCCCACAUUGGGGA